GCUUUCCCCCUCCCCUUCAGUGCGACAAUCUCAGAGCUGAUGGAGAAGCAGAGCGUGUGCAGCUGGAUAAAUUCGUAGAUGGGGAAUUUCUGGAUCAAAUGGAGGAGACUGGACAAUUGAGAGAGCCCUUGGAAGAGGGGAAGAGGGGAAGAGGGCUUCGUUACCAGUGUGUAUUUGCCACCUAGUGACCAUAGUGAAUGGUGAUAUUUGUCCUUCUUGGCUGAGCCCGGUGGCCUGACCUUAACUCCCGAGUUCCGUGGUCAUGUAGCAACUGCAAGUCAAUGUCAUACAAACUUUGAGUUGACCUAGUGUGUACCUUGGAGAGUUUUGGAACAAUAUGCAGGGGAGAAGAGGCUGGACCUUCGGGCCUUGUCAUUCAAACCCGUUCCACAAGAUGCGGAAAGGCCACACACUGAGAGUCGAGCCUUGGGAUGCAGACUCCGACAGCUCUCUCUGAUGACGUGCUGAUCCACGUGCCAGAAGAUGAAAGCAGCGCAGAAGAGCUUAUCUCCAGACAAAACCCAAGUGUCUGGCUUCUUUCCCCAUAUCUGCUGUGAUGACCAGCAUUUGUAUUGAUGCAUGCUUGUGUUCACCUUGAGAUCGGAGAGAAAUAGAAAUUAAUUGCCCACUAAUCACAAUUGCUGAUGCAAAAUUAGGAAAAUACCAACAAGCUUCAGUUUACUUUGUGUUUUAUUUGAGUGAACAGACCAAUGGUCUGGGCUGUCCUAAUACUCCCUUCCCUGCCCCCAGUUUUCCCCCAAAGCUCGUGAGUCCCUCCAACAGAAAUUCCUCUACAGCGAGAGUUUCAGGAACUCAACUCUCAUACCUAGGGAGGGGAGUUACUCUACUUGGUUGCACAAUCUGAUUUUGUACUCUCGCUCCUGAAAUUUAUUUUAAUUCUGUUUAAGCCCAACUUGCUCUUGCAGCAGAAAGAAUCCAGACCCUUGCCCUUUACCUGGUUUGGUAUCAGUGAACUUGCUUUGCAGCGGUUGUAUGAGGUAGCUAUGGGUCAGUCUCGAAGGGCAGUGCAAUGACAAUGGACUCCUGCAUUUACUCUGGCAUCUAAUUGAGGAGUAGAUGCUGCUAGAGUUCAUUUCCAUUGAUCUCUGUUCUCAUAUCUGGUCUUCCCAGGAAUCUGAACAUCUGAAUAUCCUCCGGGAAAGGGGUUCUGACUGAAACUUCUUCCCUUAGGGUGGUGGAAAUCCAAUCAUUCCCCCCACCCCCAGCCUGGAGGUCUGAACGAUAGCCUAGCUAUACUUGAGUUUGAAGUGAGCAGAGGAAAGGGGAAAAAAAUACAAAAGUUAAAAGGGCUUGCUCGCAUAGUUACAGUUGAGAUGACAGAUAUUCCUCAGUAGGUUCAAAAGAGGCAGAUGAGACUUGAAAACUCGUUUUCAGGUGCUGCGGUUCUAGUGACCCCCGCCCCCCCACAGUGCCAGAGAAGCCUACAUGCCUGCUCUAAGCCAUAGCAGUUCUCAACGCAUCCAGAUCAUGUUAGGGAGCUUUGAAAAAUACAGAGUUCUGGGACCUGCCCCUAGAUGUGCUGAAUCAGGGAUGGGGUCAGCAUCUGUAAAUUUUGAAAGCUCCUCAACUGUUUUUUUUUAAUAUACAGCCAUGGCUGCUAACUGCUGCUCUAAGUCUAAACAGAAUUGUAAUAGAAAAUAUAAUGCAAAUGGUGGUGGACCCAGGAUCUAGGGAAACUUUAUUCCAAAUUUUGGCUCUACUACUAGCUCAAUGGAUGGUUUUAUUCAAACCACCCUACUCUUUCCUUACCCAUCAAAUGAGAGAUUAGGACCACUUGGUCUCCAAGGUCCCUCUAUCUCUGGCAUUGUUACCUUGAGAGAAAGCUGCUUCAGUCUUCUUGAGUGUACCUGAGCCCUUUCAUAGAGACCAAGGUAAGUAGUAGUGUCGCUGCGCUGUGUUCUUGAUGUUUUAAAAAUGGUGGCUUCUGGUUCAAGUUUGACCUUGGUUUAGUCCCUUCCAGAAAAGAGAGUUAGGCAUAGAAAAAAAAGAAACAAACACCACAUCAAUUUCCUGAAAGGAAAGACAGAGAGGGCCUCCUAUGAGUUUAUUUGUAGUAAUUGUUCUUUUUCUUCUGAGUUACAGGGCUUGGGGAAAAUAAUAGAUAUUAUGAGGAAAACACCUUAACAUGUUGUAGCUAUUGUUUUCAUAAACCAAAGCAGAGAGAACUCUGUGUCAGGGUUGCUGUUCCAAGGUUCCAUGGAUAAUUGGUGUAUUCUUAAUCAUAUCUAGAGGUAAAUAGUUUUAAGUCAAUGAUUAUUUUACCAGUUUAAUCAAUGCUUCCAUAUGCCUUUAGAGAAUGUAGUUUCCUGAUAAAUUUUACCAUUCACUGAGAUUAUUGCCUUGGAAAUUUUUCUCUUAAUUUGACUAGAAUUAGAGAAAUCAAAUUUAAGUUGGAGAGCAUCAACUGGGAACCAUUAAUAUAAAAUAAUACAAUGGGAAACUGACUACUGUAUGGAUUUAGUUGUCAGAGGGAUGCCUAGACUUUGACUUGAUAGAUGCAAACUUUUGUCUAGGGACCAGGCCUUUUGAAAUACAUUACUAAGAUAAAUCUAAUUCUUGUUUAAGGUAAUACCCAGUUAAAAUAAUCUAAGAAGUAUCAUUGAUGAGGAUAAAAGCCAGAACAUUUCAACAUGGCUGAAUUUAACAAGUCAGCAGAACUUACAGGUGAAUUUGAAAGUUGGUACAGGCAAAGUGGUAGAAAUAGAAGUGCAUAUAACUGGGUGUUUCUUUUUUUCCUUUUUCAAAUUAAGAAUAGUCCCCGAAAUUGACAAGCUGAAAUUUCUUUUAGAAGAUUUUAUACACAAUUUGGGUGGAAUCAAACGGUUCUGGUAAAUUCUUGGGUUUAGUGUUACGAAGUGCCUAGCAGUUUUCUUCUUUACAGACAUACUUUACCGCUGACAAAAAGAAAAGAAUGGAAAAGGAGGUGGGGAGAAAGAGCAGCCCAAGUUGCUGAACUUUGUAGAGAAUAUUAAAAAACCGGUGUUACAUUUCAAAAGAACCUUUUGUUUGUUUAAGAUCUUUUAAGUUCAAAAUGCAGAGGAGGUUCUGCACACAUUUGCAAAUGCACACAUUUGGAUUUCAGAGCUGCUGCCACCUGAAGGCUGAUAAAGGGCUUCGAGAGUGUGUGUAGUCUAAAGGGGUGUGUGAACCAUGUUUGUGCUAUGGAAUAACUGAUCACUGAACUUUACAUAGAGUUACCUUUUAAUGGUCUUGAUGUCAGUGCUCUAUGUUUGUUUAAGAAUCCAGAAAUAAAUUGUGGCAUGGACAGAGUAUAUAUGCUCUUGGGAGCCAUAACAUCAAAUAAAGGCUAAACAGUACAUUUCAUUAACACGAACAAUGAAUGUUGAGGAGUUAAAUAUGAAUCUAGUUGUGCUUCAGACAUCGCACUUCCUCUUACACUACUAUGUAAAGCCAGUGAUACAAUUAACCUAUUUUUGCAAACACCCAGAGUUGGCUCUGGGUCAGUUGGCAGUGAUGUGAUGAGGGCCAUACUGAGAAGAGCAUGGGACUUAGGUAAGGGGAGCUUUGCCACUGGCUUCUUGUCUGCCCUGGGCGAGGGGGGUCUUCCUCUCUUUGGAUGAGUGGUGCUUAGUCCUGGCACCAUAACCCUUGGGCUAUUGGGGUGUGACAAGUCAGCUCAGGGCCUAGGCUGUGGAGUCAGACCUGCCUUCAAUCUUGUCCCUGCCAGCUACCAACUAUGUGAUGGUGGGCAUGCGUCUUAACCGUUUCAGACUUGACUUUCUAAUCUGUAAAAUGGGGUCAAAAUACCUGCAUUGUUAGAUUGCUAUGAGAUUACAAGAAAUGCUUAAUACAGUGCCUGGCACAUAGCAAGCGCUCAAUAAAUUGUUGCUAUUAGAUGUUAUUAUUAUUAUCAUCACCAUUAUUGUUAUUGUUAUUAUAAGCAUUAUAGAGCUAAAUAUGAUAGUUUACUCCUGUCUUUGCAAAAUUUUACUAUUUUGGUAUUUUAUCUAAUUCCUCUCAAAAAUCGUAUGCAUGAUGGUUUUAAGAAGAGAGCAGGAAUAAAAAUUGAUUUUCAGUA